rnacentral:rRNA from 1 species
UUACCUUUGUAUGCAUCUGAUUCGGAUAUUGGGCGUAAGAGCUCGUAGGCGGUUUGUCGCGUCUGCUGUGAAAGACCGGGGCUCAACUCCGGUUCUGCAGUGGGUACGGGCAGACUAGAGUGCAGUAGGGGAGACUGGAAUUCCUGGUGUAGCGGUGAAAUGCGCAGAUAUCAGGAGGAACACCGAUGGCGAAGGCAGGUCUCUGGGCUGUAACUGACGCUGAGGAGCGAAAGCAUGGGGAGCGAACAGGAUUAGAUACCCUGGUAGUCCAUGCCGUAAACGUUGGGCACUAGGUGUGGGGGACAUUCCACGUUUUCCGCGCCGUAGCUAACGCAUUAAGUGCCCCGCCUGGGGAGUACGGCCGCAAGGCUAAAACUCAAAGGAAUUGACGGGGGCCCGCACAAGCGGCGGAGCAUGCGGAUUAAUUCGAUGCAACGCGAAGAACCUUACCAAGGCUUGACAUGAACCGGUAAUACCUGGAAACAGGUGCCCCGCUUGCGGUCGGUUUACAGGUGGUGCAUGGUUGUCGUCAGCUCGUGUCGUGAGAUGUUGGGUUAAGUCCCGCAACGAGCGCAACCCUCGUUCUAUGUUGCCAGCGCGUUAUGGCGGGGACUCAUAGGAGACUGCCGGGGUCAACUCGGAGGAAGGUGGGGACGACGUCAAAUCAUCAUGCCCCUUAUGUCUUGGGCUUCACGCAUGCUACAAUGGCCGGUACAAAGGGUUGCGAUACUGUGAGGUGGAGCUAAUCCCAAAAAGCCGGUCUCAGUUCGGAUUGGGGUCUGCAACUCGACCCCAUGAAGUCGGAGUCGCUAGUAAUCGCAGAUCAGCAACGCUGCGGUGAAUACGUUCCCGGGCCUUGUACACACCGCCCGUCAAGUCACGAAAGUUGGUAACACCCGAAGCCGGUGGCCUAACCCUUGUGGGGGGAGCCGUCGAAAGGUGGGACCGGCGAUUGGGACUAAGUCGUAACAAGGUAGCCAAUUA